UACGGGGGGGGGCAAGCGUUGUUCGGAAUUCUGGGCGUAAAGGGCUCGUAGGCGGUUUGUCGCGUCGGGAGUGAAAACACCGGGCUUAACUCGGUGCUUGCUUUCGAUACGGGCAGACUAGAGGCAUGCAGGGGAGAACGGAAGUUCCUGGUUGUAGCGGUGAAAUGGCGUAGAUAUCUGGAGGAAUACCGGUGGCGAAGGCGGCAUCCUGGAGCCGACAUUGACGCUGAAGCCGAAAGCUAGGGAGCAACGGG
rnacentral:rRNA from 1 species